rnacentral:rRNA from 1 species
GACGAGUGGCGGACGGGUGAGUAAUACUUAGGGAUCUGCCCUUUGGAGGGGGAUAACCAUUGGAAACGAUGGCUAAUACCGCAUAUUGGCUACGGCCAAAAGGGGGGAUGUUCUUUCGGGAACGCCUCUCGCCAAAGGAGGAACCUAAGCGAGAUUAGCUAGUUGGUGGGGUAAAGGCUCACCAAGGCGACGAUCUCUAGCUGUUCUGAGAGGAAGAUCAGCCACACUGGGACUGAGACACGGCCCAGACUCCUACGGGAGGCAGCAGUGGGGAAUAUUGCACAAUGGGGGAAACCCUGAUGCAGCCAUGCCGCGUGUGUGAAGAAGGCCUUCGGGUUGUAAAGCACUUUCAGUUGUGAGGAAAGGUUGGUAGUUAAUACCUGCCAGCUGUGACGUUAACAACAGAAGAAGCACCGGCUAACUCCGUGCCAGCAGCCGCGGUAAUACGGAGGGUGCGAGCGUUAAUCGGAAUUACUGGGCGUAAAGCGCACGCAGGUGGUCUGUUAAGCUAGAAGUGAAAGCCCCGCGCUCAACGUGGGAAGGCCUUUUAGAACUGGCAGACUAGAGUCUUGGAGAGGGGAGUGGAAUUCCAGGUGUAGCGGUGAAAUGCGUAGAUAUCUGGAGGAACAUCAGUGGCGAAGGCGACUCUCUGGCCAAAGACUGACACUCAUGUGCGAAAGUGUGGGUAGCGAACAGGAUUAGAUACCCUGGUAGUCCACACCGUAAACGCUGUCUACUAGCUGUUUGUGGAUUUAAUCCGUGAGUAGCGAAGCUAACGCGAUAAGUAGACCGCCUGGGGAGUACGGCCGCAAGGUUAAAACUCAAAUGAAUUGACGGGGGCCCGCACAAGCGGUGGAGCAUGUGGUUUAAUUC